rnacentral:ribozyme from 1 species
UGCCCAGCAACUCCUAUCCCUACCUCUACGUGGUACCGGCCGGAAACUAUGAGCAACCUUAGGGAAGAUCGGGUAACCAACCCCGGUGGGAACUUUGGUCGUAGGCUGACAGGGAAGG